UGAGGAAUAUUGGUCAAUGGGCGAGAGCCUGAACCAGCCAAGUAGCGUGCAGGAAGACGGCCCUAUGGGUUGUAAACUGCUUUUAUACGGGGAUAAAGUGAGCCACGUGUGGCUUAUUGCAGGUACCGUAUGAAUAAGGACCGGCUAAUUCCGUGCCAGCAGCCGCGGUAAUACGGAAGGUCCGGGCGUUAUCCGGAUUUAUUGGGUUUAAAGGGAGCGUAGGCCGUCUGUUAAGCGUGUUGUGAAAUGUCGGGGCUCAACCUGGGCAUUGCAGCGCGAACUGGCAGACUUGAGUGCGCAGGAAGUAGGCGGAAUUCGUGGUGUAGCGGUGAAAUGCUUAGAUAUCACGAAGAACUCCGAUUGCGAAGGCAGCUCACGGGAGCGCAACUGACGCUGAAGCUCGAAAGUGCGGGUAUCGAACA
rnacentral:rRNA from 1 species